rnacentral:snRNA from 1 species
UUGCUUUAUCAGCACAUGUACUAAGAUUGAAAAGAUACAGAUAUCAGCAUGGCCCUCACACAAGGACAACUCGCAAGUUCAUGAAGCAGUUCAUAUAUUU